UGGGGAAUACUGCACAAUGGGCGCAAGCCUGAUGCAGCCAUGCCGCGUGUGUGAAGAAGGCCUUCGGGUUGUAAAGCACUUUCAGCGAGGAGGAAGGUGGUGAGCUUAAUACGCUCAUCAAUUGACGUUACUCGCAGAAGAAGCACCGGCUAACUCCGUGCCAGCAGCCGCGGUAAUACGGAGGGUGCAAGCGUUAAUCGGAAUUACUGGGCGUAAAGCGCACGCAGGCGGUUUGUUAAGUCAGAUGUGAAAUCCCCGGGCUCAACCUGGGAACUGCAUUUGAAACUGGCAAGCUAGAGUCUCGUAGAGGGGGGUAGAAUUCCAGGUGUAGCGGUGAAAUGCGUAGAGAUCUGGAGGAAUACCGGUGGCGAAGGCGGCCCCCUGGACGAAGACUGACGCUCAGGUGCGAAAGCGUGGGGCAGCAAACAGGAUUAGAUACCCUGGUAGUCCACGCUGUAAACGAUGUCGAUUUUGGAGGUUGUGCCCUUGAGGCGUGGCUUCCGGAGCUAACGCGUUAAAUCGACCGCCUGGGGAGUACGGCCGCAAGGUUAAAACUCAAAUGAAUUGCGGGGUCUAGCUG
rnacentral:rRNA from 1 species